AUGCAACAAUCAGCCUCCUUUGUGCCCUUUCAUCAAUGACCGCCGUGUAUUCCUCGGAAACAUCCAUUUUCUUCGUUAUCGGGCAACCUUGGGGGAAAAAACACGGGGGAAAAUAGAAUUUGCGACUACUUUAAGGAAACACUCAGAGGCAAUGGAAUUACGACGGACGCCCAGCGGGACUGGAAAAUUCUCAAAAGACUCGCCUCAAUCUUCUUCCUUCACCGAGGGCUCUUACUCUUAUAUUUGGAUUCCACUUUAAGUAACAGCGUGGCGCACGAGUUAUGGGACGGAAUGUUGGCCUCCGAAUUGCCAGAUAUAAAUAAUUCACUGAAGGAUGAUUGAACUUCCAGUGAAUAUCGCAAAUUAAUACAUUAAGAUGGUAACGAGUUUCGUGCCAUUAAAAAAUUGGGAGACGAAGUUCUCGCUGAAAUUAAAUAGACCUUGUCGUUGUGGGACGUUUAAUUCCCUCCGAGGAUGUCCUUGGACAGGCGGAUCGAUGGUUCCUCGAUGAGAGAGACCCGAAUCCAAGUCGAUCUCUCGACCUCGACUUUCACCCUCGGCGCAAGGUCUAGGACACUCAGGUGAGACGGGAUCCUCUUCCUAUGAAUGAAGAGUCGACCAUAAACAGGUUUCGAAAGGUCUUCCGAGUUUCUUGACAGCAGUACCAUAACUUCAGUAACGGUACUUCUUCCAACGUUAGUGAUGUUGAGAAAGAGGCAUCGGUAAUUUCUAUUAAUGUAAUGUAAAGGACGGAUAUAUGGAUGUCUUCAAUUAUAGAUUUUGAUUGGAGAAAUGUUUGAUAAACAAAUAUAUCUUGGAGUGAAGGUAUGAGAUGUCUACCGAUUUAAUAUCAAGUUGUCAUAAAUAAUAUG